rnacentral:rRNA from 1 species
GACGAACGCUGGCGGCGUGCUUAACACAUGCAAGUCGAACGAUGAAGCCCAGCUUGCUGGGUGGAGUAGUGGCGAACGGGUGAGUAACACGUGAGUAAUCUGCCCUUCACUUCGGGAUAAGCCUUGGAAACGGGGUCUAAUACUGGAUAUGACUGCCUGCCGCAUGGUGGGUGGUGGAAAGUUUUUCGGUGGGGGAUGUGCUCGCGGCCUAUCAGCUUGUUGGUGGGGUAAAGGCCUACCAAGGCGACGACGGGUAGCCGGCCUGAGAGGGUGAUCGGCCACACGGGGACUGAGACACGGCCCAGACUCCGACGGGGGGCAGCAGGGGGGAAUAUUGCACAAUGGGCGCAAGCCUGAGGCAGCGACGCCGCGUGGGGGAUGAAGGCCUUCGGGUUGUAAACCUCCUUCGACAGGGAAGAAGCGAGAGUGACGGUACCUGUAUAAGAAGCACCGGCUAACUACGUGCCAGCAGCCGCCGUAAGAC